CCUACGGGAGGCAGCAGUGAGGAAUCUUGGUCAAUGGUCGGGACACUGAACCAGCCAAGCCGCGUGAGGGAUGAAGGUACAGAGUAUCGUAAACCUCUUUUGUCAGGGAACAAAGGCGGGGACGUGUCCCCGGAUGAGUGUACCUGACGAAAAAGCAUCGGCUAACUCCGUGCCAGCAGCCGCGGUAAUACGGGGGAUGCGAGCGUUUUCCGGAUUUAUUGGGUUUAAGGGGUGCGCAGGCGGUGUGUUAAGUCAGGGGGCAACGCCCGGGGUACACCCCCGGCCCGCCGUUGAAACUGGCAGGCUCGAGUUGUAGAGAGGGAUGCGGAAUGCGCGGUGUAGCGGUGAAAUGCGUAGAUAUCGCGAAGAACUCCGAUGGCGAAGGCAGCAUGCCGGCUCCACACUGACGCUGAGGCACGAAAGCGUGGGUAGCGAACAGGAUUAGAUACCCGGGUAGUC
rnacentral:rRNA from 1 species